CCUGCUCUAUGAAAGGGAAUGUUCAACUCUGUGACUUGAAUGCAAACAUCACAAAGGAGUUUCUGAGAAUGCUGCUGUCUGCUUUUUAUAUGUAAUCCCGUUUCCAACGAAAUCGUCAAAUCUAGCUAAAUAUGCACUUGCAGAUUCCACAAAAAGAGUGUUUCAAAACUGCUCCUUCAAAACGAUUGUUGAAUUCUGUUAUUUGAGUACACACAUCACAAAUAAGUUUCUGAGAAUGCUUCUGUCUGGUUUCUAUUGGAAGGUAUUUCCUUUUUCAACACAAGGUUGAAUGCGCUUCAAAUGGACACUUCCAGAUAUGACAAAAGGCGUGUUUCAAACCUGCUCUCUCAAAUGGAAUGUUCAACACUGGGACUUCAAUGGAAACAUCACAAAGAAGUUUCUGA
rnacentral:lncRNA from 10 species